AUUAAAACAAUACCCAACAUUACCACUAUACCUGAUGUUGACUUACGAGUCAUUAUAUAAGUAGCAAAACUUGCAUCAGCAUAUGCAGUUAACACUAAUUCAUUAUUUGGUUCUAAAUAUAAUGAAUAAU